GCUGCAAGGACCAGGAGAGGUCAGUGCUUAGAGGAGGUGCCUGCAAGAAACAUCUAGAGGUGAGCUCAGCUGCAGAUGGCAUCAACCUGUACAACAAUCUCAUCACCUGUUAGCUGAGUUAUCUUGGUCUCAUCUGCUGGGAGCAGGCAUUGGGCUGAAAGCUGCAGAGGUGGAGAAACUGGGGGCGCCCGAUGCACUGAAAAGCCCACGGAGCUGAGCCUGGGAGAGUCUUUGUAAAAUCAGGGAUGGUUUGUUGAAUGAGGAAAGAAUUAUCAGCUGUGUCUCAGAGGACCUAGAAAUGACUGAGUGAAUAUUAGGCAGGAAGAAAAGCAAAGGUGCUGCUCUUACACGUAAUGAUCCACGUGCUGAUGAACGUUCUAAGCACUGUGGAAAUGCCACGAAAGAAAAGUGGAAUGUAAGGUGAGAAAGAAAUGGGCACCUUUUGUGUUCUAGUGUUUUUCUGGGAUAUGUAUGCUGCUGAAAAAAACCAUGGAACAUCAUUUACCACAGGGGUAUGAUGAGGAUAAUGUUCAUUUUUAUAGAAAAUAAUCAGUAAAUUCAAACCGCUCAUCUCUGCAGUCAUGAUCCGUGGACAUCGUGGUGUGAAUAUGGAGGGCUUGGGGUUGUGGCUGUGAUUAUGUGAAGGCAAUUGGACACAAAGUAGUAGUGGGACUGAAAUUUGCCUCGUGGUGCCAGAAGGAAGGGCUGGUUUGAGAACUGUUCCAUGCAAAGGAAGAGAGCCACCAGCUGCAAGGCAGGUGGCAACCCACCAGGGGCAGGCAGCUUUAGUCAGAGAAAAUCACUCUGCUACUGUAUUGAAGGAUCUGGUUGCCAUUCAGUCCCCCAUGGUUCCACCCAAUAUUUUGGGUCCUUUUGAAGAGCUGUAACUGAAGAAUGAGCUGGAACAAGGUGCUCUGCUGUAUAAUGGAGAAUAAUGUGAGGCUGCAAACAGCACAUCUGAAGCUAUUUCAGUGAUCUCAUGAGUUCUAGAUCAAGAGAAAAGUCCAUUUAAAAGAAGGGCAGUGCUGUGUGUCUAGAAGCCAUUAAACUCUUUGUACAACAAGGUGUGUGGCCAGCUCCUAAUGUCUGACCUCUUGGUGUGCUGCAUUAGGUGGCAGGGGAGACCCAAGAGAAGGAGUGCAAUUUUCCUGCUUUGCUCAGGAAAUCUGCGAGAGGAGGCUGGACACUGCACAUGGCACAGAAUGGCAUAUCUCUGGAAUGCAGGAGGUGGAUUUACAGUGA